rnacentral:rRNA from 1 species
GAUGAACGCUGGCGGCGUGCCUAAUACAUGCAAGUCGAGCGAACGGACGAGAAGCUUGCUUCUCUGAUGUUAGCGGCGGACGGGUGAGUAACACGUGGAUAACCUACCUAUAAGACUGGGAUAACUUCGGGAAACCGGAGCUAAUACCGGAUAAUAUUUUGAACCGCAUGGUUCAAAAGUGAAAGACGGUCUUGCUGUCACUUAUAGAUGGAUCCGCGCUGCAUCAGCUAGUUGGUAAGGUAACGGCUUACCAAGGCAGCGAUGCAUAGCCGACCUGAGAGGGUGGUCGGCCACACUGGAACUGAGACACGGUCCAGACUCCUACGGGAGGCAGCAGUAGGGAAUCUUCCGCAAUGGGCGAAAGCCUGACGGAGCAACGCCGCGUGAGUGAUGAAGGUCUUCGGAUCGUAAAACUCUGUUAUUAGGGAAGAACAUAUGUGUAAGUAACUGUGCACAUCUUGACGGUACCUAAUCAGAAAGCCACGGCUAACUACGUG